rnacentral:rRNA from 1 species
UACGGGGGGGGCAAGCGUCGUUCGGAAUUACUGGGCGUAAAGGGCUCGUAGGCGGCCAACUAAGUCGGAUGUGAAAUCCCCAGGCUCAACCUGGGAACUGCAUCCGAUACUGGAUGGCUUGAAUUCGGGAGAGGGAUGCAGAAUUCCAGGUGUAGCGGUGAAAUGCGUAGAUAUCUGGAGGAAUACCGGUGGCGAAGGCGGCAUCCUGGACCGACAUUGACGCUGAGGAGCGAAAGCUAGGGGAGCAAACGGG